GGAUCAGUACGCUGGUCGUGCCUUCGGUAUGUACUGGUGUUACUGGUUCCUACCUUCUGACGAACCGUCAUGUCAUUAAUUUGGUGUGGCGGGGAAUCAGGACUGUUACUUUGAAAAAAUUAGAGUGUUCAAAGCAGGCAAUCGAGCCUUGAAUACUUCAGCAUGGGAUAAUGGAACAGG
rnacentral:rRNA from 1 species